UGGAGCGGUUGCCAGGGGCAGGAGCUGGGGCAAACGUGGGAUGGAGUGGGUACCGGAAGUGCUCAAGCCUGCUCCGCUGUACUGCUCAGCGCCGCUAAGACCUCCCGCUAAGACCUCCCUCUGGCGGCCCCAGCCUGCAACCCGCCAGGCAGGGCCCAAAGGGGAAAAAUAAUCUGCUUCUGCCACGACUUCAUGCAAUUGUGAGUUGUUCUGCAGCCAGCUGGGCCUCCCUUCUGUUUGUUCCACGCAUGACCUCAGGAGGCUUACUCUACAGGAAACAUCAAUAGCAUCACCUGCGUGUCUCUUACGGAAGUAUCUUAGCUCAGACCCAUGGUCUUAGGAAUGACUUGCUCCCGCUCAGCCUUCGGACUCUGGCAGUCUCUGCUUGGAGGCUACCACCUGGGGAGCUAAGAAAAUAAGCCCUUCCUUGGAGCAGCUGUCUGUAAAUUCACACUGAGAUACAGACUGUGCCUACCGCCUGGAGACCUUCAAGUUGCUGGGACAUUGGCGUCUGACUUCUUCUGCAGUGUUUAUGUUAUGCAAAUAUCUUGUAACCUAGAGAUUCAGUUUCAGUUUUUCAUGUACCUAUAUAUAUUUUCUGAAU